GGUUAAGCGACUAAGCGUACACGGUGGAUGCCCUGGCAGUCAGAGGCGAUGAAGGACGUGCUAAUCUGCGAAAAGCGUCGGUAAGGUGAUAUGAACCGUUACAGCCGGCGAUGUCCGAAUGGGGAAACCAGUGCAAUUCGUUGCACUAUCGUUAACUGAAUACAUAGGUUAACGAGGCGAACCGGGGGAACUGAAACAUCUAAGUACCCCGAGGAAAAGAAAUCAACCGAGAUUCCCCAGUAGCGGCGAGCGAACGGGGAGCAGCCCGGAGUCUGAAUCAGCUUGUGUGUUAGUGGAAGCGUCUGGAAAGUCGCAGGGUACAGGGUGAUACUCCCGUACACUAAAACACACAGGUUGUGAACUCGAAGAGUAGGGCGGGACACGUGGUAUCCUGUCUGAAUAUGGGGGGACCAUCCUCCAAGGCUAAAUACUCCUGACUGACCGAUAGUGAACCAGUACCGUGAGGGAAAGGCGAAAAGAACCCCGGCGAGGGGAGUGAAAAAGAACCUGAAACCGUGUACGUACAAGCAGUAGGAGCCCACUAGUUGGGUGACUGCGUACCUUUUGUAUAAUGGGUCAGCGACUUAUAUUCUGUAGCAAGGUUAACCGUAUAGGGGAGCCGCAGGGAACCGAGUCUUAACUGGGCGUUAAGUUGCAGGGUAUAGACCGAAACCCGGUGAUCUAGCCAUGGGCAGGUUGAAGGUUGGGUAACACUAACUGGAGGACCGAACCGACUAAUGUUGAAAAAUUAGCGGAUGACUUGUGGCUGGGGUGAAAGGCCAAUCAAACGGGAGAUAGCUGGUUCUCCCGAAAGCUAUUUAGGUAGCGCCUCGUGAAUUCAUCUUCGGGGGUAGAGCACUGUUUCGGCUAGGGGGUCAUCCCGACUUACCAACCCGAUGCAAACUACGAAUACCGAAGAAUGUUAUCACGGGAGACACACGGCGGGUGCUAACGUCCGUCGUGAAGAGGGAAACAACCCAGACCGCCAGCUAAGGUCCCAAAGUCAUGGUUAAGUGGGAAACGAUGUGGGAAGCCCAGACAGCCAGGAUGUUGGCUUAGAAGCAGCCAUCAUUAAAGAAAGCGUAAUAGCUCACUGGUCGAGUCGGCCUGCGCGGAAGAUGUAACGGGCUAAACCAUGCACCGAAGCUGCGGCAGCGACACUAUGUUGUUGGGUAGGGGAGCGUUCUGUAAGCCGUUGAAGGUGGCCUGUGAGGGUUGCUGGAGGUAUCAGAAGUGCGAAUGCUGACAUAAGUAACGAUAAUGCGGGUGAAAAACCCGCACGCCGGAAGACCAAGGGUUCCUGUCCAACGUUAAUCGGGCAGGGUGAGUCGACCCUAAGGCGAGCCGAAGGCGUAGUCGAUGGGAAACAGGUUAAUAUUCCUGUACUCGGUGUUACUGCGAAGGGGGGACGGAGAAGGCUAUGUUGGCCGGGCGACGGUUGUCCCGGUUUAAGCAUGUAGGCGGAUGUUCCAGGUAAAUCCGGAACGUCACUAACGCUGAGGUGUGAUGACGAGGCACUACGGUGCUGAAGUGACAAAUGCCCUGCUUCCAGGAAAAGCCUCUAAGCAUCAGGUAACAUCAAAUCGUACCCCAAACCGACACAGGUGGUCAGGUAGAGAAUACCAAGGCGCUUGAGAGAACUCGGGUGAAGGAACUAGGCAAAAUGGUGCCGUAACUUCGGGAGAAGGCACGCUGAUGGUAGGUGAAGUGACUUGCUCAUGGAGCUGAAAUCAGUCGAAGAUACCAGCUGGCUGCAACUGUUUAUUAAAAACACAGCACUGUGCAAACACGAAAGUGGACGUAUACGGUGUGACGCCUGCCCGGUGCCGGAAGGUUAAUUGAUGGGUUAUCCUCGCGGAGAAGCUCUUGAUCGAAGCCCCGGUAAACGGCGGCCGUAACUAUAACGGUCCUAAGGUAGCGAAAUUCCUUGUCGGGUAAGUUCCGACCUGCACGAAUGGCGUAAUGAUGGCCAGGCUGUCUCCACCCGAGACUCAGUGAAAUUGAACUCGCUGUGAAGAUGCAGUGUACCCGCGGCAAGACGGAAAGACCCGUGAACCUUUACUAUAGCUUGACACUGAACACUGGUCCUUGAUGUGUAGGAUAGGUGGGAGGCUUUGAAGUGUGGACGCCAGUCUGCAUGGAGCCAUCCUUGAAAUACCACCCUUUAAUGGCUGGUGUUCUAACGUGGGCCCGUGAUCCGGGUUGCGGACAGUGUCUGGUGGGUAGUUUGACUGGGGCGGUCUCCUCCUAAAGAGUAACGGAGGAGCACGAAGGUCAGCUAAUCCUGGUCGGACAUCAGGAGGUUAGUGCAAUGGCAUAAGCUGGCUUGACUGCGAGCGUGACGGCGCGAGCAGGUGCGAAAGCAGGUCAUAGUGAUCCGGUGGUUCUGAAUGGAAGGGCCAUCGCUCAACGGAUAAAAGGUACUCCGGGGAUAACAGGCUGAUACCGCCCAAGAGUUCAUAUCGACGGCGGUGUUUGGCACCUCGAUGUCGGCUCAUCACAUCCUGGGGCUGAAGUAGGUCCCAAGGGUAUGGCUGUUCGCCAUUUAAAGUGGUACGCGAGCUGGGUUUAGAACGUCGUGAGACAGUUCGGUCCCUAUCUGCCGUGGGCGCUGGAGAAUUGAGGGGGGCUGCUCCUAGUACGAGAGGACCGGAGUGGACGCAUCACUGGUGUUCGGGUUGUCAUGCCAAUGGCAUUGCCCGGUAGCUAAAUGCGGAAGAGAUAAGUGCUGAAAGCAUCUAAGCACGAAACUUGCCCCGAGAUGAGUUCUCCCUGACUCCUUGAGAGUCCUGAAGGAACGUUGAAGACGACGACGUUGAUAGGCCGGGUGUGUAAGCGCAGCGAUGCGUUGAGCUAACCGGUACUAAUGAACCGUGAGGCUUAACCUU
rnacentral:rRNA from 1 species